UUCUGAUAUAUUAAACACGGCCUUCGGAGGCCUGGGAGCUGUCUCGUUGGAGCUUUCUUCGGGAGAACUGCGUUAGGAUCUCGUCUGGUUUAGGCCUGCAAGGGACCGAGAGAGAGAGAGAGAGACCAUGCCCAAGGAGGAGCCCCGCCCCCAGGCGAGUCUGGCCUGCCUGCCUCUCCCCCUACCCCUCCCCCCUCUGCUGCUGGUGGUGCUGCUGCUGUCACCGGCAACUUCAAUCGCCAAACCGAAAGGAACUCUGGAAGAAGCCUCGCACGCCAUCAAGUUCCCACCAGGAGACGCAGGAGACUUUAUACCAGGUCCAGGCGUUGAAAUUGCCGAGGUCAUCACUGCCCCGUGUCUCUGCAAACCGUGUCAGUUCCUGCUGAGAGAGCGACCUUGCACUUGCAGGGAAGACUUUUCAUGUGUCCAUGCUGCCAGAUUUGUCCCAACGGACACAACAGCCUUGGCAUAAAAUGUGGGAGGAUGUGGCCAAUCUUGAGGAUAGCGUAUUGU